rnacentral:lncRNA from 1 species
GGUCCGCCGAUCAGGUAGCGCAUGAACUUGAACUGCGAACACGUACGUAGUGUUUAAAAGUGUGCCAGUCGCAGUCGCACGCACAGCAAGAGAGCGCGGGUGGGAUACACAACAAGCGGGAAUGGCGAAGGAGAGACGACUCGUAUGCCAAUUGUCGGUUGUUAUUGGUCAGCAAUACAUGUCUUGCGAUGAUGAAGCUAAGCGUCUUCCUCGUCAGAGUGAAAGUAUUGAUAUUCUGCUUGGCUCAAACGCAC